GAUGAACGCUGGCGGCGUGCCUAAUACAUGCAAGUCGAGCGAAUGGAUUAAGAGCUUGCUCUUAUGAAGUUAGCGGCGGACGGGUGAGUAACACGCGGGUAACCUGCCCAUAAGACUGGGAUAACUCCGGGAAACCGGGGCUAAUACCGGAUAACAUUUUGAACCGCAUGGUUCGAAAUUGAAAGGCGGCUUCGGCUGUCACUUAUGGAUGGACCCGCGUCGCAUUAGCUAGUUGGUGAGGUAACGGCUCACCAAGGCAACGAUGCGUAGCCGACCUGCGAGGGUGAUCGGCCACACUGGGACUGAGACACGGCCCAGACUCCUACGGGAGGCAGCAGUAGGGAAUCUUCCGCAAUGGACGAAAGUCUGACGGAGCAACGCCGCGUGAGUGAUGAAGGCUUUCGGGUCGUAAAGCUCUGUUGUUAGGGAAGAACAGGUGCUAGUUGAAUAAGCUGGCACCUUGACGGUACCUAACCAGAAAGCCACGGCUAACUACGUGCCAGCCGCCGCAGUAA
rnacentral:rRNA from 1 species